rnacentral:rRNA from 1 species
CCCUUAGAUGUCCUGGGCCGCACGCGCGCUACACUGAACGGAUCAGCGCGUUUUCCCUUCCCGAGAGGGACGGGUAACCUGCUGAACCCCGUUCGUGGUAGGGAUCGGGGCUUGCAAUUAUUCCCCGUGAACCAGGAAUGCUCAGUAAGUGCAAGUCAUAAGCUUGCGUUGAUUACGUCCCUGCCCUUUGUACACACCGCCCGUCGCUACUACCGAUUGAACGUUUUAGUGAGGUACUCGGACUGAGCCUCAGAAGAUUCACGUCUUUUGUGCUGCUCGGGAAGAUUCCCAAACUUGAGCGUUUAGAGGAAGUAAAAGUCGUAACA